UUUUCCCUCAGAAUCUGGACGGCUGUCAAAGCUUGGCUCGAUGUGCCUGAACUAAACAUUGCAGACUGGGGAGGCAUUCACAUGGUCCAAGCCUGGUGGGCGGCAACGGUUCUUACACGUGGACAUAGGAGGAAGGCCAUUUCAUCACUUCUCAUGCUCAUCACAUGGGAGAUACGGAACGAGCAAAACUCUCGAGUUUUUUGUAGUAAGUCAGCUAUGCCUACUGCUCUAGUAGACAACAUCAAGCGGGAGGCAAGGAAUUGGGGCCUUGUAGGGGUGAAACAUUUGUGCGCUUUGAUGCCGCGAGAGUAG
rnacentral:rRNA from 1 species